GGAGAGAUGGCAGAGUGGUUGAAUGUACCGCACUCGAAAUGCGGAGUACCCAAGGGUAUCGGGGGUUCGAAUCCCCCUCUCUCCU
rnacentral:tRNA from 1 species